rnacentral:misc_RNA from 1 species
GUGAGUCAUCGAAUCUUUGAACGCACAUUGCGCUCUAUGGAAACAUAGAGCAUGCCUGUUUGAGUAUCAUUUUAACCCACUCGCAGAUCUUUUUCUGUGGACUUGAUAGUCUUGGAGUUCUUUAUCUCUCCCAGUCUUUCGAAAAAUGAACUUCAAAAUGGUUUCAGAGAUUUUUUCCCUGGACCCCCCAAUCGUACUUGAUUGUAUUCAGUCACGAUUGGUUGGUGUGAUUUUUUUUUUGAAGAGGGUGUUUUUUGUUUUUCUUCAACAAAAAAAAGCGAACUUUGAAUGCUGUGGCAU